GAUCUUAGUUCCCUGACCAGGGAUUGAACCCGUGCCCCCUGCAUUGGGAGCAUGGAGUCUUAACCACUGGACCACCAGGGAAGUCCCUAAAGCGGCUCUUUUAAGUCACUAACUGCAGCAAUAAUUUGUUAUGCAACAAUCGGAUGAUCAAUUGCUUAGAGUUAGCAAAAUAUUGGACCUGUUUCUACACCCAACAACUAGAACUUGAGGUUUUCCUGAUUCCUCAAAUCAGGAAAGUAACUUUCUCUUAGCUCACCAGAGGCUAUUCACCCAGAAAUAAAACCACCGGUAAAUGCUUGUUGCUGCUCUCCAAGGCAGUGGAAGAACUGUCACCCCAGGACAUGCUGACUCAAUUAAACCUGGGAGUAACCCCUGGGGGAAUUCUGGGUGAACCAGAAUCCCUGGUCUGGAUUCAUGCUACUCUAAGUGAGCUUUAUGAACCUACAGUAGCUAACGCCCUGGGAGCUCAUCAGAAAUGGGACUCUUAGGUCCCACCAGACCUACUGAACCCAAAUCUGCACCUGAACAAGAUCUUGCAGGGAUCUGUACACACAUUGACACUUGACAAGCACUUGUGUGUACCAGGCCCUUCAUGACAACUUUCGGAAAGAAGCAGCUUGCUCACAGCUCAGAUCUUACAAAGACUUAAAAAGCCCUCUUCCCACUGAUGCUGAGACCUCCAUCACCUCAGGGGAAAGCAGAGGCAGCUGAGGAUACAGGAGACUGUGUUCAGCUUUUGACUUCUCAAACAAGCUCUUCUGAAGGCUCAUUUCCAAAAGAAUAGUUAUGAAAGCAGGCUUGUGGAUGCACUCAGCGGUUCGUGUGUUAACCAACGAGAGUCAAAACCAUCCAAAGACGGAAUGGGCUGCCUUGGGAGAGAGGAAGCUCCCCCUCAUGGGAGACGUGCAAGCAUCGGUUCUACCUGGAUCUGGCAGUGAUGCCAAAGAGGAGGUAGACAACUGGAAACUCUGGCGUGAGUGUCCACGGAGCAUCUCUGAUGACUUCAUCCACAUAGCGACAGUGUCUCAGCGCUUCGUAUCUCUCUGCUUCAUUCAUCACGGUG